rnacentral:rRNA from 1 species
GUAGAAGCAACUUUGGUGAUGGUCUUUGCAUAAGUUCCUUGGAAUAGGACGUCAUAGAGGGUGAGAAUCCCGUUUAUGGUGAAGAACCCACACUAUGUAAAGUGCUUUCGAAGAGUCGAGUUGUUUGGGAAUGCAGCUCAAAGUGGGUGGUAAAUUCCAUCUAAAGCUAAAUAUUGGCGAGAGACCGAUAGCGAACAAGUACUGUGAAGGAAAGAUGAAAAGAACUUUGAAAAGAGAGUGAAAAAGUACGUGAAAUUGUUGAAAGGGAAGGGAUCUAAAUCAGACAUGGUAUUUUGUGAUCAACAGUCUUUCGGGACUGUGCACUCGCAUUUUACUAGGCCAGCAUCGGUUAGAAGGGGGUAAAAAAGAUUUUGGAAUGUGGCUCCUCGGAGUGUUAUAGCCAAGGUUAAUUGCCCCAUUUCUGACCGAGGACCGCGUCUUUUGACUAGGAUGCUGGCGUAAUGGUUUUGAUCCACCCGUCUUG